rnacentral:rRNA from 1 species
AGCUUGCUUUCUUGCUGACGAGUGGCGGACGGGUGAGUAAUGCUUGGGAAUCUGGCUUAUGGAGGGGGAUAACGACGGGAAACUGUCGCUAAUACCGCGUAGUGUCGAGAGACGAAAGUGCGGGACUGAGAGGCCGCAUGCCAUAGGAUGAGCCCAAGUGGGAUUAGGUAGUUGGUGGGGUAAAGGCCUACCAAGCCUGCGAUCUCUAGCUGGUCUGAGAGGAUGACCAGCCACACUGGAACUGAGACACGGUCCAGACUCCUACGGGAGGCAGCAGUGGGGAAUAUUGCGCAAUGGGGGGAACCCUGACGCAGCCAUGCCGCGUGAAUGAAGAAGGCCUUCGGGUUGUAAAGUUCUUUCGGUAUUGAGGAAGGUUGAUGUGUUAAUAGCACAUCAAAUUGACGUUAAAUACAGAAGAAGCACCGGCUAACUCCGUGCCAGCAGCCGCGGUAAUACGGAGGGUGCGAGCGUUAAUCGGAAUAACUGGGCGUAAAGGGCACGCAGGCGGUUAUUUAAGUGAGGUGUGAAAGCCCUGGGCUUAACCUAGGAAUUGCAUUUCAGACUGGGUAACUAGAGUACUUUAGGGAGGGGUAGAAUUCCACGUGUAGCGGUGAAAUGCGUAGAGAUGUGGAGGAAUACCGAAGGCGAAGGCAGCCCCUUGGGAAUGUACUGACGCUCAUGUGCGAAAGCGUGGGGAGCAAACAGGAUUAGAUACCCUGGUAGUCCACGCUGUAAACGCUGUCGAUUUGGGGGUUGGGGUU